GUCACAACAUGAGGAACUGUAUUUAAAGGGCCAGAAGGUUGAGAACCACUGCUUUAGAGACAUCUGGGCAAACCUACUGAAUCUCGGUGCUGGUGGGGAAAAAAGAAGUUCUUGCAAAUCCACGCAGCCAAAGUGUUGAGAAAAAGCUAAACUGGCCCUGUUUACCUUGCUGGGUCCCAUUGAUGUAAAAGAGGAAAAUGGGAGAUGCUCUAAUUAAACACUUGUAGGGAGGUUCCCCCCAAAUUUGUUAUAAUCAAGUCACAUGACAGUGGCUCCAGGAAAGUGCAAGUGUUCACCUUAUCAGCAUGCUGGCCGCCUCGUAAGUAGCCAACGCCAGGCACUUACACUGUCUAUUCACAAGACAGCCGCUUCUACAGACAGACCUAUUUCUAGUUUCUUGGGCAUAUAGAACAAACCUACAAUUUUUAUUGAAUCACUUGUAUAUUGGGAGCCUUGAAUUCAUUUCGGGUGAGAAGAUUUAGUGCUGAGUUAUAAAGAAUUGGAUAGUGCAAAAGAAAAACGUUACGAUGAGAUGAGCUCAACUGGAAACAAUUUCUAAGCAAGAAAGGAACUUUAAAAUAAGUAAAUACAGACGUACUGACUGCUUAACUAUGCCCCAGGACCCAUUUUAAGAGGUCUACAUUAAGAAAAUCCACAACCGAGUCUUCCUAACAACCCUGAGAAGGGUAUUAGACAUCUCCACCUUUACAAGUGAGAAAAUGAGGCUCAGAGAUAUUCGGUGGCCUGCCCAGGUUACAAGGCAGGCAGCAGAGCCAGGAAACCCAUGACUGUCUUGGCCAUCAGAGCUCACGCCCUUUACCACAAUGAUACGGGCUCUCAAAACAAAGGCAUUACAAAACUAAGUGACUUGCCAAAAAGUCUCAAUGCCAAAGGGUAGCAAGAGACUACACAGAAGUGAGAUUUCAGCUGAGUUUAAAAAGAUGAAUGGCCGAGAACUGGGAACGAUAGGCAUGCCUGACGAAACCCAAAGGUGCAGUUACAGCAAACCUCGAGGUAAACGUAUGUUAUCAAUGAACCAAGAGGCUCAUACUUCAGUCAGUGGACAGACAAGGAAGAAAACAAGAUGUCUGGAAUGAAGCAGCCACCGAUAGUUGAUGUCAAACUGCUCUCAAUUAUUUGCACAUAUUAACUCAUUUAAUCCUUCAAACAACUUUAGGAGAUGGAUUUUAUUACUCAUUUUAAAAUCAGGAUAGGGGAAUGAAGGAUAGGGGAUAAGUAACUUGCCCAAGUUCAUAGCUAAGAAGUGGCAGAUCCCAAAUUCAAACCCAACAUUCUAACUUCAGAACCAUGUUCUUAAAAUCUACAGGCGUGCAGGCCGGACUGUGUCACAGGGGACUCCACCAGCAAACGGACUUAGAAGAAUUCAAUUUUAUGCAACCAACAGGAGACCAUGGGAGGAUGGCCCACUUUACCACUUGGAAUGAGGAAGUUCAAGAUGAGGAAACAGACGACCAGCAAGAUGACUUGUUCAAGGAUGCUCCCACAUCACUUAUCCACUUCUCCCACUAUGCCUAAAGGCCGGUUUCUUCCUCUCUCCAGCUGACUGAGUUCUCCGAAGGCACACACCAAACUCUUACCUGUAUCCCCAAUGUCUUUCUAAUACCUGGCGCAUAGCAGAUACACAAGGUAUGUUUUAUAUUAUGGUCAUUCAUUCACUCAAAUGUCAAGUUCUCAGAAGAGGCAGCUAUCCUAAAAGUAGGUAAGAGGUGGCAGUUGUUCUCUGAUCCCUUUUUCUAGAAGGAAGAGGGCGAUGGCUUCCCU